rnacentral:rRNA from 1 species
CACCGCGGUUAUACGAGAGGCCCAAGCUGAUAGACAUCGGCGUAAAGUGUGGUUAAGAGACCUAAAAUGAUUAAAGUCGAAUGUUUUCAAAGCUGUUAUACGCACUCGAAAACUAGAAGCACAACAACGAAGGUGACUUUACAAUUUCUGAACCCACGAAAGCUAAGGCA